UUAGCCAACUUUCGUAUAUGUGA
rnacentral:snRNA from 1 species